GCCAGGCAUGAUGGCACAUGCCUAUAAUCCCAGCUACUUGGGAGGCUGAAGCAGGAGGAUCUCUUGAGCCCACUACUGCACUCCAGCCUGGGUGAAAGAGCAAGACCCUGACUCUAAAAAAAAAAAGUGCUUGAUUAUUUUUUGAGACAGUCUUGCUCUGUCACCCAGGCUGGAGUGCAGUGGUGGGCUCAAGAGAUCCUCCUGCUUCAG
rnacentral:SRP_RNA from 1 species